rnacentral:miRNA from 1 species
AUACACACACACACACACACACACACACACACACAGACAGACAGUCAGUAUAUAUACAGUAUAUAUGUGUGUGUGUGUGUGUAU